rnacentral:lncRNA from 1 species
UGACUGCAUUGGUAAUAAGGACACCUGUACAUGCUACAGUAGCACUUUGUCCUCCUGCUUCUGUACAAACUACAGCAGUACAACUAUUCCUGCAGCAGUUAGUCCAGUCUAUGACUGUGUGCUUUAUAACGGCACCUACAUCUGCACUGGUGCUCAGUAUCGCAUGUACUGCAACAUGAGAAUGCAUUAUUUCAACUACCAGAGAUAUAGAAACCAAAACCAAUACCAGUCCCAAUGCAGUAGUAAUAACUGUUACUGCAUUGGUAAUAAGGACACCUGUACAUGCUACAGUAGCACUUUGUCCUCCUGCUUCUGUGAGAAUUAUGGCAAUAUUACCGCCAUCCCUGCAGCAGUUAGUCCAGUCACAGACCCUGACUGUGUGCUUUAUAAUGACACCUACAUCUGCACUGGUGCUCAGUAUCGCAUGUACUGCAACACAAGAAUGCAUGAUUUUUCCUUCCAGAGAUAUCAGUACCAAGACCAGUACCAGUGUGUGAAUAAUAACUGUAACUGCAUUGGUAAUAAGGACACCUGUACAUGCUAUAGGAGCACUUUGUCCUCGUGCUUCUGUGAGACUUACGGCAAUAGCAUUGCUCUCACUACAGCAGUUAGUCCAGUCUAUGACUGUGUGCUUUAUAAUGACACAUCAUACAUCUGCACUGGUGCUCAGUACCAAAUGUUCUGCAACAAAAGAAUGCAUGAGUUCAACUACCAGAGAUAUAGAAACCAAAACCAAUAUCAGUUCCAAUGUUGGAAUAAUAACUGCAACUGCAUUGGUAAUAAGGACACCUGUACAUGCUAUAGGAGCACUUUGUCCUCCUGCUUCUGCAAGACUUAUGGCAAUAUCAUUGCUCUCACUUCAACAGUUAGUCCAGCUUAUGGCUGUGAGUUAUAUAAUGGCAUAUACGUCUGCACUGGUGUUCAAUACCGCAUGUACUGCAACACAACAGUGCAUGAUUUCUACUAUCGGGGAUAUCAGAACCAAAACCAAUACCAGUAUCAUUGUGUGAAUAAUAAUUGUUACUGCAUUGGUAAUAAGGACACCUGCACAUGCUACAGCAGCACUUUGUCCUCCUGCUUCUGUGAGACUUACGGCAAUAACAUCACCAUCCCUAUAGCAGUUAGUCCACUGAGAGUCUCUCAGUGUGUGCUUUUUAAUGACACGUACAGCUGCACUGGUGCUCAGUAUCGCUUGUUCUGUGACACAAGAAUGCAUGAUUUCUACUAUCAGAGAUACCAAAACCAAGACCAGUACCAGUGUGUGUAUAAUAACUGUAACUGCAUUGGUAAUAAGGACACUUGUACAUGCUCUAGUAGCACUUUUUCCUCCUGCUUCUGUGAGACUUACGGCAAUAGCAUUGCUCUCACUACAGCAGUUAGUCCAGCUUAUGGCUGUGUGCUUUAUAAUGACACGGCAUACAUCUGCAUUGGUGCUCAGUACCAAAUGUACUGCAACACAAAUGUACAUGAUUUCCAUUAUGAUAGAUACCAUUACCACUGUUUAAAUAAUAACUGUAACUGCAUUGGUAAUAAGGACACCUGUUCAUGCUCUAGUAGCACCUUGUCCUCUUGUUUCUGUAAGACUUAUGGCAAUAGCAUUGCACUCACUACAGCAGUUAGUCCGGUCUAUGACUGUGUGCUUUAUAAUGACACGUACAUCUGCACUGGUGCUCAGUACCACAUGUAUUGCAACACAAGUAUGCAUGAUUUCCAUUACAGUAGAUACCAUUACCACUGUUUAAAUAAUAACUGUUACUGCAUUGGUAACAAGGACACCUGUUCAUGCUCUAGUAGCACUUCAUCCUCCUGCUUCUGCACAAAUCACAGCAGUGGCAUCACUAUCCCUGCAGCAGUUAGUCCGGUCUAUGACUGUGUGCUUUAUAACGACACAUACAUCUGCACUGGUGCUCAGUAUCGCAUGAUCUGCAACACAAGAAUACAUUAUUUCUACUAUUGGAGAUACAGAAACCGAAACCAAUAUGAAUAUGAAUGCUGGGGUAAUAACUGUGGCUGCAUUGGUAAUAAGGACACCUGUACAUGCUACAGCAGCACUUUAUCCUCCUGCUUCUGUGAGUCUAACAUCUUCCAAACCGCACUCAGACCAACUACUGCAGGUGCGCAUGUUUCUA